rnacentral:rRNA from 1 species
CCUACGGGAGGCAGCAGUGGGGAAUUUUGGACAAUGGACGCAAGUCUGAUCCAGCCAUUCCGCGUGCAGGACGAAGGCCUUCGGGUUGUAAACUGCUUUUGUACGGAACGAAAAAGCUCUUAUUAAUACUAGGAGUCCAUGACGGUACCGUAAGAAUAAGCACCGGCUAACUACGUGCCAGCAGCCGCGGUAAUACGUAGGGUGCAAGCGUUAAUCGGAAUUACUGGGCGUAAAGCGUGCGCAGGCGGUUAUAUAAGACAGAUGUGAAAUCCCCGAGCUUAACUUGGGAACUGCAUUUGUGACUGUAUAGCUAGAGUACGGCAGAGGGGGAUGGAAUUCCGCGUGUAGCAGUGAAAUGCGUAGAUAUGCGGAGGAACACCGAUGGCGAAGGCAAUCCCCUGGGCCUGUACUGACGCUCAUGCACGAAAGCGUGGGGAGCAAACAGGAUUAGAUACCCUGGUAGUCCACGCCCUAAACGAUGUCAACUGGUUGUUGGGUCUUCACUGACUCAGUAACGAAGCUAACGCGUGAGUAGACGCCGNGGAGGACGGCCGCGAGUAGUAACGUACGAAGAAGUAGACGGCGUGAGACGUAGCGACGGACGACGACGAGGGAGGAGG